UACGUAGGGAGCGAGCGUUGUCCGGAUUCAUUGGGCGUAAAGAGCGUGUAGGCGGCUCGGUAAGUCCGCUGUGAAAGUCCAGGGCUCAACCCUGGAAUGCCGGUGGAAACUGUCGAGCUAGAAUCCGGAGGAGGCGAGUGGAAUUCCUGGUGUAGCGGUGAAAUGCGCAGAUAUCAGGAGGAACACCAAUGGCGAAGGCAGCUCGCUGGGACGGUAUUGACGCUGAGACGCGAAAGCGUGGGGAGCAAACAGG
rnacentral:rRNA from 1 species